ACAGUGGGAAGUACAGAUGACUCCCCAGGUGAGACGGCAUUUGAUUGAGAGCUUAAAACAAGAGUUCCACAGAUGAGGAGAAGAAAGAAGCUUUCACUCCAGGCAGGAGGAACAGUGUGAGGAACUGCCAGGAAAGCUGCAGAACAGAGGUCUGAAAACAUAAGAGAAGCCAGGAAAAUGCAAGUCCUUCCUCCUGACCCUAGAAAAUCUCUGCUGCCAAGGCUGGGACUCUGCUGCCAACUUCAGGCCUGGGAAAACCAAGACUCCAGGAGCUCUACCUCUAGGAUUCUUCCAAACAUCUCACCAUGUCCUCUGAUACCUCUGUAGUCAUCUGCCACAACCUACUUCUGAAUAAAUCCUACAUUCCACCUUUCUGUGCCUGUACCCAAGAAGCCAAAUGUUGAUGGAAAAAACCACAAAGAACUGCUUUGACACCUGGAAGAAUCUGGCGGGAGAUGGUGGUGCCCAGCAAGAGGAUGUUGAUUCUAAAAUGUCCCAAAAAUGCUCACCUGCAAAGAGGAAUUACUCUCUGCAGAAGCAGCAGUAUUGCACCAUGGUUCUUGCAGAAGAGGCAAGAGUGCCCACUGGGCAGAAAGUGGUGCCAGUUGGACCCAGAAGUGGCAUCCAAAAAAAAGUCAGGCACAAGGCUAAGCCUGGCAGACUUGGUAAACCUGAGGGAGGAAGACAGUGACAGAGGAAGAUGAAUAAAACCCCCAAGCCAUCUGGCAAUAUGUGAGACACUGUGGGGAUGCCCAGGAUAAAACCGAAAGAAUUUUGAAGAAGCUGGAGCAAGAGUUAGAGGUGAGAAAAAUACAUCUCAGGGUGCCUCACACAGGGUAGGCAAUCAAGAUUUUCCUUUUAGAAAGGUGGGUUUAAAUGCCAGGAGAGAAGGUAUAGAGGAGAAUAGAACAGAAUGGAAUGGAACGGAAUGGAAUGGAAU
rnacentral:lncRNA from 1 species